rnacentral:rRNA from 1 species
GAGCAACCAACCAACCCGAACAGACGAGUCGCCUUCCUCCUCCUCCUCGUCCCAUCGCACGGCGGCGGCGGCAUGGCGGCGGGCGGCGACCUGACCGAGGACGAGCGCAAAGCGCUGCGGGGGAGCAAGUUCGCGCCCCUCCCGGCGCCACGGCCGUCCUCCCGCCCCAACCCGAGGAUGGCCCAUCCUGGAGGACCACUAACUACAAAUAAGGCUGCUGCUUUAGCGAAAUUCCUCGAGAGAAAACUACAGCAACCUGAUGGCUUGGACUCUCUAAAUCCUGAUCUUGUAAAUUUGGCUGUGAAAAAUGCAAAGGAAACCAUUAAGGCAAGCAAGGGUGAGGCCUCAACUUCUGGGAGAGUAGUACGGCAUGUUCCAUCAUUUGAGGAUUCCUCUGAGGUUUCCAAUCAAGAUGACGGGGCGCAGAGACAGGAAAAGAAGAAAAAGAAAAAGAAAAGGAGAAAAACAAAGGCCGCUAAAGAUUCCAAGCUCCACAAUACAUCAAAGAAGAAAAAGAAGUUAUCGUUAUGACUCUUGAAUAUCCAUGGGACCAUGGAGUUAAAAGAAGGCAGGCGUUCACACUUUUGCACUUCUUAGAUCUCUUGGUUUCAUCUGAACCUCAAUCAACACUGUAAAGUGUAAACCUAGCAGUGGAUCAAGGUGACCCGUCACAGUGAACAAAAGAGCACUUGUGAACCCCAGAGUGCAAAACUGAAUGUAGUUGGUUCUUCUUUUUGAGGGCGAAUGUAGUUGGUUCUGAUCUAACGGUCCCUAUACCAUUAGAGUUGCUUGGAAACAUCUAUGUAUUCUGCACUUCGUUACUGUUGUUGAAUGCUGUUCUGAGUUUGUGAUGAUGCAGCUCGCCACUGAUCUGCUUGAGGUCUUUUUUUAGGGUUGCUUGAGUAGGUGUUGUGGGAACUGAGAAAUGCAAUGCCGCUGUGUCCUUUUUGGGGUUUUACUGGAUAUUUUUUGGAUCACAUGGACGAUGAUGGAUUGGAAGCUUUGUCCGGGCCCUUCCUCAAUAGAGUGCCUGCUCGAUGUGUCUUUUCCUGUGUUCCAGUGAUUGGCAUGGCCUGCUGGCCCGAUGAAUCUGUCAGGC